AUGGCCCUCGACCUGCCGCCCUGGUUCUUUAAGUGCAUCGACAAACUUCGCAGAGGAUUCUUCUGGCGUGGAGUGGAAGAUGCAAAGGGAGGUUGUUGCCUCGUCGCCUGGCAUAUCGUCUGCUCGCCCAAACCCUACGGCGGCCUGGGCGUCCUCAACCUAAAACUGCUAAACCAAGCCCUGCGCUUACGAUGGCUUUGGCUGCAGAAGACAAUGUUGGGCAAACCAUGGGGUGGCAUGAGUGUCGUCGUCUCGGCGGAA
rnacentral:rRNA from 1 species